CCUACGGGAGGCAGCAGUGGGGAAUAUUGGGCAAUGGGAGGAAUCCUGACCCAGCGACGCCGCGUGAACGAAGACGGCCUUCGGGUUGUAAAGUUCUUUUAUGUGGGAAGAAGGAAGUGACGGUACCACAUGAAUAAGCCCCGGCUAACUACGUGCCAGCAGCCGCGGUAAUACGUAGGGGGCGAGCGUUGUCCGGAAUUACUGGGCGUAAAGGGCACGCAGGCUGUGCUUCAAGUCAGCUGUAAAAGGAUGCGGCUUAACCGUGUUAUGCGGCUGAGACUGAGGUGCUGGAGUACCGGAGAGGCAAGUGGAAUUCCCAGUGUAGCGGUGAAAUGCGUAGAUAUUGGGAAGAACAUCGGUGGCGAAGGCGACUUGCUGGACGGUAACUGACGCUGAGGUGCGAAAGCCAGGGUAGCGAACGGGAUUAGAUACCCCAGUAGUC
rnacentral:rRNA from 1 species